rnacentral:tRNA from 1 species
GGUACCUUAGCUCAGUUGGUAGAGCAAUGGACUGAAAAUCCAUGUGUCCCUGGUUCGAUUCCUGGAGGUACCACGA